GAGAAAAAAAACAGACUCCAGGGACAUGGACAGAAAAUGAUAUUAAAACAUUCCUUUUAUACCAGCCCCGAAGAUAUUUUUGUCAAACAUCGAAUGGAAAUGUAAAAAUAUAUUCAUUUCAUUCACUAAGGAGGGACACAAAUUUUGCUACAAUUUUAUAGUUAGAAAAUUUGGAGAGAGAGUAGAAAACACUUAAAAGGACAAUUGAACAGUGUGUUGAAUGAAUGAGAGUCUGUCUCUGUAGAUGGAAUUCUACAGGCGUCUGUCUGUCCGACAGAGGGGACGGUAUAGUACGGAUUUUUUAUGCAGCUAAAUGGUUGAUUAGAUUACGGCUGUCGGCACCAUUUUUUGUAACAUUGCUCCAAAGAACGCACUCCAAAGAAAGGAGCAGCUCCAGUUUUAUGACUUUGUGAUGAUUUGGUUUUGCGAUUUGAUAUCCUUGUUGGUGUCUAUAGAAGAAGAACAUUAAAAUUAUUGAUUAUUGUGAAUAAGAAAUUUAUAAAAA